rnacentral:tRNA from 1 species
AGGGGGAAUGGUCGGGAUAGCUCAGUUGGUAGAGCAGAGGA